GGGCCCGCACAAGCGGUGGAUGAUGUGGAUUAAUUCGAUGCAACGCGAAGAACCUUACCUACCCUUGACAUGCCAGGAAUCCCGGAGAGAUCUGGGGGUGCCCGAAAGGGAACCUGGACACAGGUGCUGCAUGGCUGUCGUCAGCUCGUGUCGUGAGAUGUUGGGUUAAGUCCCGCAACGAGCGCAACCCUUGCCAUUAGUUGCUACGAAAGGGCACUCUAAUGGGACUGCCGGUGACAAACCGGAGGAAGGUGGGGAUGACGUCAAGUCCUCAUGGCCCUUAUGGGUAGGGCUUCACACGUCAUACAAUGGUCGGUACAGAGGGUUGCCAACCCGCGAGGGGGAGCCAAUCCCACAAAGCCGAUCGUAGUCCGGAUCGCAGUCUGCAACUCGACUGCGUGAAGUCGGAAUCGCUAGUAAUCGCGGAUCAGCAUGUCGCGGUGAAUACGUUCCCGGGCCUUGUACACACCGCCCGUCACACCAUGGGAGUAGGUUGCUCCAGAAGUAGUUAGCCUAACCGCAAGGGGGGCGAUUACCACGGAGUGAUCCAUGACUGGGGUGAAGUCGUAACAAGGUAGCCGUAUCGGAAGGUGCGGCU
rnacentral:rRNA from 1 species